UACAGAGGGUGCGAGCGUUGUCCGGAAUCACUGGGCGUAAAGGGCGCGUAGGUGGCAGGGUAAGCGUGCGGUGAAAGCCCGGAGCUCAACUCCGGGUCGGCCGUGCGAACUGCUUUGCUCGAGCACUGUAGAGGCAGGUGGAAUUCCGGGUGUAGCGGUGGAAUGCGUAGAGAUCCGGAAGAACACCGGUGGCGAAGGCGGCCUGCUGGGCAGUUGCUGACACUGAGGCGCGACAGCGUGGGGAGCAAACAGG
rnacentral:rRNA from 1 species